AAAUUGAAGAGUUUGAUCAUGGCUCAGAUUGAACGCUGGCGGCAGGCCUAACACAUGCAAGUCGAACGGUAACAGGAAGCAGCUUGCUGCUUCGCUGACGAGUGGCGGACGGGUGAGUAAUGUCUGGGAAACUGCCUGAUGGAGGGGGAUAACUACUGGAAACGGUAGCUAAUACCGCAUAAUGUCGCAAGACCAAAGAGGGGGACCUUCGGGCCUCUUGCCAUCGGAUGUGCCCAGAUGGGAUUAGCUUGUUGGUGGGGUAACGGCUCACCAAGGCGACGAUCCCUAGCUGGUCUGAGAGGAUGACCAGCCACACUGGAACUGAGACACGGUCCAGACUCCUACGGGAGGCAGCAGUGGGGAAUAUUGCACAAUGGGCGCAAGCCU
rnacentral:rRNA from 1 species